rnacentral:antisense_RNA from 1 species
AGUGUGAAGGGAAGGCUAAGGACGCAUCGGUGCUGGAGAGUUGAGAAUAUGCCUUCCCCUCCACCCCCAACCCAGUCACCUUAUUUGAAAAAAAAUUAAAAAACACCUUUUAUUUAAAAACCUAACCCUGGAAGUUUGCUCGCUGCCUGAAAAUCAUAUGCGUGGUUUUUCCUGUUUCCUGCUCUGUAGCUGACAUCAGGGGAGCAAAGUGAACACAGGAAAAUGGAAAUCAACAUUUGAAACUUUUAAAUGGAAGCUUUAUUGGGGUUCCACAUAUGGAAAACUGCAAAUAGCAGAAGUAUGUGACUCAAUACAUUAUUCUGGAGUGACCACAUCCUCUAACUACCUCCUAGGACAAGAAGGAGAAUGUGAACAAUGCUCCUGAAGGCCCCUUUCCCUCAAAGAAUCACUGCAAUUGAAGGAAAAAUGCUCCAUGUCCCCUAUGCCAGUUGGUGUUUAUCAAAGGACAACGGAGGAGGAGAGACAAAGUGCCUGGAUGUGUGUGUUAAUCAAGAGUUGUCAGGACCCUGCCUCUAAAAGAAAGCGCUAAAAUGAUGCUUUUGACAAGACUUUUCUCAAAAUGGAUGCAGUCUAAGGGUUGGAAAACAAGGCCCAAUCAGGCUAGGUCUGACUUGUCGCCUGCUUUUGUAAAUAAAGUUUUAUUGGCUCACAGAC